UGUAAAAUAAGCUAAAUGAUAAGCUGCUGGGUUCAUACCCCAGAAAUGAAUGAUUAAUUCUUUUACAA
rnacentral:tRNA from 1 species